rnacentral:rRNA from 1 species
AUCAUGGUCAGGAUGAACGCUAGCUACAGGCUUAACACAUGCAAGUCGAGGGGCAGCGGGAAGUCAGCUUGCUGACUUUGCCGGCGACCGGCGCACGGGUGAGUAACACGUAUCCAACCUCCCGCAUACUCGGGAAUAGCCUUUCGAAAGAAAGAUUAAUGCCCGAUGGUUUCAAGGGAUUGCAUGGUAUCUUGAAUAAAGAUUCAUCGGUAUGCGAUGGGGAUGCGUUCCAUUAGG